UUUCCUUAUCGUGUGUGUAAGGUUUAGUGUUUUUUUAUAAAUUACUUUUUUAUUUAUUUAUCUAUCGUGGAUGGAUAUGUCUGUAUUUUGCUGUCGUGUAAACACGAUCGAGAGCGAUCCAUUCGUCUUCUCGUAGCGAUAUUCCGGAUAACUUCCAGCCCUAUCAUAGUUUUCUUAAGCAAUCAUCAUGUGUGGCUUGUGUGAAAGAGAUCGGUUAUGUUUCUUUCUUUUCCUAUUUUAUAUUCUUUUUAUAUCUUUUUUCUUAUUUUUUUUUAGAUAGAAGAACGUUGCGACCGAUGGUCCGUCGUGGAAAUAACGGACAAAAAGCUUUAAAAGGAAUAUUCAUCAUGAUUUUCUUAAAAUAAUUUGGAGAAAUAAAAAAGAAAAUGAAGAUUAAGAAAUCUAUGCGAACGAUCACAGGUCGAUCGUUGAGUUUUAUAAAUUAGAAGAUCUAAAUCAUGUGAUUGACUUUUGGCUGACCAGAACUUGAGGAGAGUCGGAAAUGUAACUGCCUAGAUAAGCAGCGAUUUUUCUACGACACACACGUAUACAUAAAGAAACGAUAUAGAAGGAGAAAUCUCGUUGAGAUGCGAAGAUUUUUUCAACGCCAUUGCAAAAACGGCGUCAUCUUCGUUGUCGGUUUCAUGAAGCGAGUCACGUUAAAAGAUAGAGAGAGAGAGAGAGAAAGAAAGAGAAAGAGAGAGAGAGAAAGAGAGAAAGAGAAAGAGAGAGAAAGAGAGAGAGAGAGAGAGAGAUAGAGAGAGAGAGAGAGAGAGAGAGAGAGAGAGAGAGAGAGAGAGAGAGUGUGUGAUCGUCUACCGAGGCCGUCGGACGAUCCCUCAGCUACGUCACUAAGGGUACGUCGGUGCUUGUUUCCGCCUUUGGUCGCCUGCAGGUGACACGAUAUAAGCAAGAUGGCGGCGGCUCGUGCCGCACCUGCUCUCGAUGUCGGUACCAGCGGACCGCGACUACCACCGCUGCUAGGCCUCCUGGUGAACGCGCAGCUCAGCGAUCCGCCGCCUCCGCUUCUCUGGCUCGAACGCGAAGAUGGCCGGCCACCGUGCAGCGUCAGAGGUAUACCUAAAGACCGUUGAGAAAGAGAGAGAAACUCUAAUACUUUGUCCACCUUCCUUUUUUGUAUUUCCUUUUGUUUUGCGAUGAACAUGACGAGUUCAAGAUGAUUGCGUAUUUUUUUUACGUUUCUUGAGAAAGUAUGAAUAAAGAAAAUUGAUUUUCCAUUUUUUCUUCUUGAAA